CAAUAGCGUAUAUUAAAGUUGUUGCAGUUAAAAAGCUCGUAGUUGGAUUUCUGGUGGGAGCGAUCGGUCUGGCGCUUAGCGCGAGUACUUGCAUCGUCUCCGGCCAUCCUUGGGGAAAGUCUGUCUGGCAUUAAGUUGUCGGGCAGAGGAUCCUCAUCGUUUACUGUGAAAAAAUUAGAGUGUUCAAAGCAGGCUUAUGCCGUUGAAUAUAUUAGCAUGGAAUAAUAAGAUAGGACUUUGGUACUAUUUUGUUGGUUUGCGCACCAAAGUAAUGAUUAAUAGGGACAGUGGGGGGUAUUCGUAUUCCGUUGUCAGAGGUGAAAUUCUUGGAUUUACGGAAGACGAACUACUGCGAAAGCAUUUACCAAGGAUGUUUUCAUUAA
rnacentral:rRNA from 1 species